rnacentral:tRNA from 2 species
UGCCAGGAUAGCUCAGUCGGUAGAGCAGUGGACUGAAAAUCCUCGUGUCACCAGUUCAAUUCUGGUUCCUGGCAU